AGCCUUCCAGCCUUUAAAAUGCCUUCCAAAAGUAUCCCAUCAUAGAGAAGACAGCAUGGCUACCCAGGAGAUACGGCCUCUUGGAGAACUUGGGAGACCCCAACUUUAAAGAGGUGCAGAGUUAUGGGGAGAAGAUCCAGCACUGUUUGACUGGACCACAGGGAAAGCAGGCCUUCAGACGAGAGUCAGGGGUAUCUUGAA